CUCCCCAAAUGAAGACAAAAUGUUUGCAGCCAAAUCGCCAAGCUCAAAGAUCAAAGCAACAUCCCAACUACCAACCCGAGCUACUACUAUUCAAACACAUCUCAACAUCCCAUUCUUUAUUGAGUUGGCAGUAUGAAAAAGAAGAGGGCGGUAUGGGAAUAUUUGGAAGAAAGAGAAGAGAUGCUGAGCACCAGCUUCUGUCUUCGUAUGCUGACUUUCUGGCAAGUGUAAACUAUUUCCAUGGACAGAUGCUGAGUGGCUGAAGUUGAUCUUUUCCUGCUCUUCACAUGUGUCUGAUUGACUGUUGUUGCCCUUGUGGUAUCCUGUCCACAUGCUGAUUCUCCAACUUUGCAUAUCCACUAAAAGUCCAGUGGUGCUUCUGCUCAUGAUUUCUAUGUGGUAUUCCUAUGUUGGAAACUUUUCUCAACUAUGCCAUUUGCUGAGAUACGCUACAUGAACAGAGAUCUGGGACCUGGGGACUGUUGAACUAUUCAACACUGUGCACUGUACAAUUAUUCAGUAAUUUGGUUAGUUAUGUUGCUCUGAUUGUUUAUUCUUUUUUACUAUUACUUUCUUCAGAAGAACAGUAUGAAAAAAGAAAAGUGAAUAAAAUGAAAACAAUUUGAUAAUUUAAUCAACAAGUUAAAAUGCAUCAACUAAGCCAAUAAAGGAAAUAGAAGUAAAAUAAAAAAAUAAAAAAUCCAUUUGAAAAGGCAAUCUGCUCUCAAAGCAAUUGUUAAUUACGUCAGCUUAGUCAGACAGCUAAAAGCUCACAACUUUAAAAUUAUUGGUGAUUAAAGUAAAGCUUUCUUUAAUUCAAGCUGAACUCCUGGUGACUUACAUUAAAACAUCUAUGCACGGGUUUGUUUGUUUGUUUGCAUGAUAUUGAAAUCGUCCUCUAUGGCCUUCUUCUAGCAGAUAUUUUCAACUUCCCAUGCUAUCCAUACAGUCUUCCAUAUAUAAAACUAUAUGCAUCAUUUUAAUUUUUCUGAUUUUUGAGUAAGCAACAAGUUUUAUUAUUUAUUUAUUUUAAUUUUUAUCAUUUUUAUUUGUAUUUAUCAUUUGCAACUUAAGGCGCCAACAUACCCAUAUUCCUUCCUCCUUUUAUUUUCCCCACAACAACCCUGUCAGAUGGGUUGGGCUAGAGAGAGUGAUUGGUCCAAAGUCAUCCAGCUGCCUUUCAUAGGUAAAGUGGAACUAGAACUCACAAUCUCCUGGUUUUUCAGUCAGCACCAAACUGGCUCUUCUGUCCUCUUCCUCAUUGCUAUUGUUAAUUGAAUCAGAUUGGGUGAUGUGAAAAUACUGCUUUUAGAAGAAAUAAAGGAUGUAGUCAGAAAGAAGAUUAUGCUAAAUUGCUUGCCUGCCUGUAAGUUCAUUCUGUAGUUCUUUAACACAAUCAGAGUUAAAGAUUUCAUGACAAUAAACAGACUGCAGUUAAAAUUCAUACUGAUCAAUAACAGAAUAACAGAGCUGGAAGGGACCUAUAUUGUAUUGUAUAUCACACAGUGUAUUGUUAUGUGAUAACAAUAUGUUCCAUUGAAAGUGAAGAAAGCAAAUGGAAAAUACAGAUGUUGACUGAUUAAGCAAUUACUCAUUGCUUCUAAAAAAAAAAAAAACACCACAUUUUCCAGUGCCUUGACUGCAUUUGGCUUAUAACAGAAUUUUUAUUUAAAUAUGAAUUGCACAUUUCUGCAUCAAUUGAUCUAAAUGGAGCAUUUUUUAAUAUGAAAUAAGGGAAAAAUAUCUUUAUUAGAAAAGGCAAAUGAUUGCUUUGACAACUUCCUUUUUCCUGGUGAUUGGAUGCAACCUCAAGCUUCAUGUUCACACAGAGCCUGCAGUGUAAAUUUAAGUCUUUUUUAAAAAAAAAAAUCUCUCCCAGCUUAAUUUCUAAAUGUCUUCUACAGGCUGCUUGAUUUUCAAUAGCUGUUUUUAUGAGAGGUGGAAAAAUUUUGGAUAUGUAGAAGAUUCCUGAGAGCAGUGAUCUGACUUGAGCAAUGAUUAGUGAAACAGACUUUACAGAUUUUAUAACCAGAAGGAAAUUUAUAGUACAAGUAAGCAAAACCAUCUAGCUAACUAUAUGUUACUAAGAGGAGAGUCAGAAAGCAAAUGCCUGGGAACAAAGAAAGAAAGAUCAGCAAUCUCUUACACAAAGAGGCAUACAGAGUAAAUUUUUAACUAUAUAUUUACAGUUUCAUACUCCAUUGUGGUCAAUAGGUCAUAAAGAAUAAGUGCCAUUGGGUUUGGUUGUCACAAAGUGUUUGUCACAAAAGGCCUAAGUUAAGGUGACCAACCAUCCUCCUUUAGGGAGGACAGUCCUCCUUUUGUGAGUUCUAUCCUCCCUCGAAAAGUGUCCUCCUACAUG